rnacentral:snRNA from 1 species
UAAAUCCACAAAUAUUUUCUUCCG